AGAGUUUGAUCCUGGCUCAGGAUGAACGCUAGCUACAGGCUUAACACAUGCAAGUCGAGGGGCAGCAUGGUCUUAGCUUGCUAAGGCCGAUGGCGACCGGCGCACGGGUGAGUAACACGUAUCCAACCUGCCGUCUACUCUUGGACAGCCUUCUGAAAGGAAGAUUAAUACAAGAUGGCAUCAUGAGUUCGCAUGUUCACAUGAUUAAAGGUAUUCCGGUAGACGAUGGGGAUGCGUUCCAUUAGAUAGUAGGCGGGGUAACGGCCCACCUAGUCUUCGAUGGAUAGGGGUUCUGAGAGGAAGGUCCCCCACAUUGGAACUGAGACACGGUCCAAACUCCUACGGGAGGCAGCAGUGAGGAAUAUUGGUCAAUGGGCGAAGGCCUGAACCAGCCAAGUAGCGUGAAGGAUGACUGCCCUAUGGGUUGUAAACUUCUUUUAUACGGGAAUAAACGAAUCCACGCGUGGAUUUUUGCAUGUACCGUAUGAAUAAGGAUCGGCUAACUCCGUGCCAGCAGCCGCGGUAAUACGGAGGAUCCGAGCGUUAUCCGGAUUUAUUGGGUUUAAAGGGAGCGUAGAUGGAUGUUUAAGUCAGUUGUGAAAGUUUGCGGCUCAACCGUAAAAUUGCAGUUGAUACUGGAUGUCUUGAGUGCAGUUGAGGCAGGCGGAAUUCGUGGUGUAGCGGUGAAAUGCUUAGAUAUCACGAAGAACUCCGAUUGCGAAGGCAGCCUGCUAAGCUGCAACUGACAUUGAGGCUCGAAAGUGUGGGUAUCAAACAGGAUUAGAUACCCUGGUAGUCCACACGGUAAACGAUGAAUACUCGCUGUUUGCGAUAUACAGCAAGCGGCCAAGCGAAAGCGUUAAGUAUUCCACCUGGGGAGUACGCCGGCAACGGUGAAACUCAAAGGAAUUGACGGGGGCCCGCACAAGCGGAGGAACAUGUGGUUUAA
rnacentral:rRNA from 1 species